rnacentral:rRNA from 1 species
UACGGGGGGGGCAAGCGUUGUUCGGAAUUACUGGGCGUAAAGGGCUCGUAGGCGGCCAACUAAGUCAGACGUGAAAUCCCUCGGCUUAACCGGGGAACUGCGUCUGAUACUGGAUGGCUUGAGUUUGGGAGAGGGAUGUGGAAUUCCAGGUGUAGCGGUGAAAUGCGUAGAUAUCUGGAGGAACACCGGUGGCGAAGGCGACAUCCUGGACCGGUAUUGACGCUGAGGCGCGAAAGCCAGGGGAGCAAACGGG